AGGGAAAGCUGGCGGCAGGCCUAACACAUGCAAGUCGAACGAGUGGCGGACGGGUGAGUAAUGUCUGGGAAACUGCCCGAUGGAGGGGGAUAACUACUGGAAACGGUAGCUAAUACCGCAUACCAUCGGAUGUGCCCAGAUGGGAUUAGCUAGUAGGUGGGGUAAAGGCUCACCUAGGCGACGCGCCCUAGCUGGUCUGAGAGGAUGACCAGCCACACUGGAAGUGAGACACGGUCCAGACGCCUACGGGAGGCAGCAGUGGGGAAUAUUGCACAAUGGGGGCAAGCCUGAUGCAGCCAUGCCGCGUGUAUGAAGAAGGCCUUCGGGUUGUAAAGUACUUUCAGCGAGGAGGCGUUACUCGCAGAAGAAGCACCGGCUAACUCCGUGCCAGCAGCCGCGGUAAUAC
rnacentral:rRNA from 1 species